UACGUAGGUGGCAAGCGUUGUCCGGAUUUACUGGGCGUAAAGCGCGCGCAGGCGGGCUGGUCAGUCCGGGGUGAAAUCUCACGGCUCAACCGUGAGUGGUCCCUGGAUACUGCCAGUCUUGAGGUGUCUAGAGGAGAGCGGAAUUCCCGGUGUAGUGGUGGAAUGCGUAGAUAUCGGGAAGAACACCAGUGGCGAAAGCGGCUCUCUGGGGACCACCUGACGCUGAGGCGCGAAAGCGUGGGGAGCGAACAGG
rnacentral:rRNA from 1 species